rnacentral:rRNA from 1 species
AACGAACGCUGGCGGCAGGCUUAACACAUGCAAGUCGAACGCCCCGCAAGGGGAGUGGCAGACGGGUGAGUAACGCGUGGGAAUCUACCUAGUUCUACGGAACAACAGUUGGAAACGACUGCUAAUACCGUAUACGCCCUAUGGGGGAAAGAUUUAUCGGAAUUAGAUGAGCCCGCGUAAGAUUAGCUAGUUGGUGAGGUAAUGGCUCACCAAGGCGACGAUCUUUAGCUGGUCUGAGAGGAUGAUCAGCCACACUGGGACUGAGACACGGCCCAGACUCCUACGGGAGGCAGCAGUGGGGAAUAUUGGACAAUGGGCGCAAGCCUGAUCCAGCCAUGCCGCGUGAGUGAUGAAGGCCUUAGGGUUGUAAAGCUCUUUCAGUAGGGAAGAUAAUGACGGUACCUACAGAAGAAGCCCCGGCUAACUUCGUGCCAGCAGCCGCGGUAAUAC